CGCUCCGAGCACACAAACGCACGCGCCGUCGCCCGUUCCUCAAACGCACAGGGACGAACGACAACCCUAAGCAGUGGCGACCCGGCAGCGGCAUGGCGCCAGCGGCGGGGAGCAGGCUCUGCAUUGGAGCAUGGGCUAAGGCGGUCGCCCUUGGCCCAGGCAGCAGCCGCACCGCGCACGGGUGCGCGCGCAGCCGCCAGGCGGGGGGCGGUCGGCAGCCGACGGGGCGGCGCCGCGGCGGCCGGCCGGCGGGGCGACUGGGCUGUGGGCGCAGUGGUGCCAGACACUAAGAGGCCCAUAGCGCGCGUCUCUCCCCCUCAAAGGCAGCCGUUAUGUUGAGCAAGCAGCCUGGGGGAUCGUCGGGCGGCGGCAGCGUCGACCAGCGAGGGAUCCGACCCGCGGGUGACGAGUUGGCCUGUGGCGGCGCCAUUCGUGCUGCAGUAUUACCCUGAGACUUGCAAACAGAAGGGCAAAAAUACAAGAGUGGAUCUGGGUCUCUGCUGUUCCAUGCGUGGAACUAACCGACGAAUCCCCUUUGUAUGUACAAGCUGCCGUGGAUCUGAGCUAGCUGCCGGAAUCCGCUUGGAUGCUGACGGUGCUUUGUAUGUAUACAAGCAGCAAUGCCGAGGCUAAGCACGGCAGGUUCUUAAUUUUGCAUUCUAAUUGAGUGAUUAGUACAUCCGGGCAGCCAACAACAUCAGGUUCUUAAGUUUUUUUUACCAUUUUGUUGUUUUAUCCUCUAUUUAUUUCACAUGUUGCCACUUUGAGAGGUUUUAUUGGUCAACGAUGCUGCCACUUAAUUUUGUGUUAUAAAACUAAAUUAUUUAGGCUGUAAAAAAAAAUUCUCAUCUGAAAUUUUGAAUACCCAUAGUCCAAAUCCUGCGCCCACCUCUGGAGGGGCACCGUCCGGCCGGCUGCCGCUUCUUCAGGCCCGCUGACAGAUCCGUCGAUGCCAAAAGGACGGUCGCCAUUAGCCGCCGCCGCCCACCGCCCAGGUUGUCAGCCCCGGAAGGGCGCCAAAUCAAGUCAAGGACGCCUCCGAUCCCUCCCUUAUUCCUCUCGCCGGCGGUUGCUUACUCUUGGAUCUUUUUCAGCAAUGCCAAGUUUUUCUUUUGCAUUGUGUCAGACGUUAGAGAUGAUUUAUCUGCCAGUAUCAUUGGCUGUCAAUUAAUUGUCAUAUAUAUUGAGUCAGUAAAUUUGCAGAUUUCAUACUUCACUGCCGCUGAUACCAUUGCUUUUAAAAGUUAUCAUAUAUGCUUAGAAAAAAUCAGUGCAUGGUACUAACUAUUUUCAAAAGUUAAGAUUGCUGCAUGUUUACAUAAGCAUAGCUGUUGUUCUGGCAGUAUUUGAUUCAUCUACGAAUCACUGUCUUUGUGUUUUUAUUCGUUUUUGUUUUGAUGUAUGACCUAAUUUAGUGCAGAUUACAGAUUGGCUUCUUACUCUCAUGUUAUAAUAUAUAUUCUAGAUUUCUAGUCAUAUGUCAUUACACGUUAUUAGUAGGUGUUGCACCCUGAUUUGUUUUUUUGUUCUUGCAACUAGGAAGCCAAUAAAAUGGGGGCAACUAAUCAUGGUUUCUGGUACUCUAUCACAACUUUGUAACCUCCCAAUUCGCCUAUUGUAAUUGUUGCAUGGUAAUGCAUCUAUUUUGCAAUUCAGGAAUGAACUGUGUUAGAAGAACUGCACCUUAGCCAUAAUGGAAUGGAAUGCCAAAGAUGGAAGAUUUUUCUACCUUGCAGAACCUUCGUGUUUUGGAUGUUUCAUCUAGCAAGCUAACCACUAUAGGAAUGUCGAAAACUUAACCAGGUCAAGGCCACGCCUGCUACCUGGUUAUAAAGGCUUAUGUCAAUUAUACAAAUCAUAUAUGCACCUAUAUGUAUAUCCUUGAAAAAGAUGAUAUAGAUACAACUAAAGCUGCCCACAAGUCUUGUGUUUCUAGUUUUAUGUUACAUGUUAAAUACUAUGAUGUGAUCAAUAAUUUAGUUCCAAUUUACUGAUUAUGAUCUUCAAAGUAGUUGCCAUAGAUCUUGUUUACUACCUCAUGUUACCAAUCUUUUUUUUUUUGUUACAGCAUGCUGCAUCUUUGUUUGACAAUUCACUUGUUCUCUAGGGGUGUGAGAUCUGCAUAUACACAAUUACUAGCUAUAUUACUGCUAGCUCUGAGCUACUGUGGUUUAGUAGAACAUCAAAUGUGAAAUCUUUUACAUUCCAAGAUAGGGUCCAAUGGCAGCGAAAGAAACUAUUGAGGUGAAAGGUAGCUUUUGCAAAGUCAUGUUCUACAGACUUAGCAGGUAGCUUACGUUAUUGAGAAUUGGUAUAACAAGUAAGAAAUGAAAAUGGCUAAGGAGACCAACAAAUUUGGGUUUGUCCUUGUGGUCCUAUUGGUCUAAACUACUUCCUAUGAAGUCUGCAUUACCCUGUCAAACUUUUCUCUCAUUAUGAUAAUUUGAGGAAAUAUAAUUUUGUUCUAACUGUCUGGUCCAUUGCUACAAUGACAUGGAUGUGAAAGUAACUGCGACUUGCAUAUAGGUUCCUGUGAUGUACUGAUGUGUGUGCACAUGCUGAAAGUGUCAAUCUACAGUUUGAAAAGCUAUUCGAUGAGGAUCAUAGAAACAUGUCAAUAAACAUAGGCGAAGAGCAAAGAUUGAGAAUUGAAGAGAAGUGUCUGUCUGCUUGCGCAAAGUUUUUUAAACAGAAUUAGAACGCAGAGCGUAAGUUUUAAGGGAAUAUGUAAUAUCUAGAUGUAUGGGGAUGAUUAAUUUUGUUGCUGACUCUAUUGCUCUAAUAUUAAAUGAAUACAUUUCAUGUACUUUUUCAUC